rnacentral:tRNA from 12 species
GCGGUCGUGGCGGAACUGGUAGACGCGCUAGCUUGAGGUGCUAGUGGGGCGACCCGUGGAGGUUCGAGUCCUCUCGACCGCACCA